rnacentral:rRNA from 1 species
GACGAACGCUGGCGGCGUGCCUAAUACAUGCAAGUAGAACGCUGAAGGAGGAGCUUGCUUCUCUGGAUGAGUUGCGAACGGGUGAGUAACGCGUAGGUAACCUGCCUGGUAGCGGGGGAUAACUAUUGGAAACGAUAGCUAAUACCGCAUAAGAGUAGAUGUUGCAUGACAUUUGCUUAAAAGGUGCAAUUGCAUCACUACCAGAUGGACCUGCGUUGUAUUAGCUAGUUGGUGAGGUAACGGCUCACCAAGGCAACGAUACAUAGCCGACCUGAGAGGGUGAUCGGCCACACUGGGACUGAGACACGGCCCAGACUCCUACGGGAGGCAGCAGUAGGGAAUCUUCGGCAAUGGACGGAAGUCUGACCGAGCAACGCCGCGUGAGUGAAGAAGGUUUUCGGAUCGUAAAGCUCUGUUGUAAGAGAAGAACGAGUGUGAGAGUGGAAAGUUCACACU